CUAGCUGUAAACGGUGCACGUUUGCUGUAAGAGGAAUCGACCCCUUUUGUGGCGAAGCUAACGCGAUAAACGUGCCGCCUGGGGAGUACGGUCGCAAGAUUAAAACUCAAAGAAAUUGACGGGGGCCUGCACAAGCGGUGGAGUAUGUGGCUUAAUUCGAUGCAACGCGAAGAACCUUACCUGGCCUUGACAUGCACGUAGUAGGAGCCUGAAAGGGUAACGACCCCGCAAGGGGAGCGUGCACAGGUGCUGCAUGGCUGUCGUCAGCUCGUGUCGUGAGAUGUUGGGUUAAGUCCCGCAACGAGCGCAACCCUUGUGUCCUGUUGCCACUCAAUCGAGAGAUUGGAGCACUCUGGACAGACUGCCUCGCUUAAACGAGGAGGAAGGUGGGA
rnacentral:rRNA from 1 species